rnacentral:rRNA from 1 species
AGUGAACGCUGGCGGUAGGCCUAACACAUGCAAGUCGAACGGCAGCACAGUAAGAGCUUGCUCUUACGGGUGGCGAGUGGCGGACGGGUGAGGAAUACAUCGGAAUCUACUUUUUCGUGGGGGAUAACGUAGGGAAACUUACGCUAAUACCGCAUACGACCUACGGGUGAAAGCAGGGGAUCUUCGGACCUUGCGCGAUUGAAUGAGCCGAUGUCGGAUUAGCUAGUUGGCGGGGUAAAGGCCCACCAAGGCGACGAUCCGUAGCUGGUCUGAGAGGAUGAGCAGCCACACUGGAAGAGAGAAGCGGUACAGACUCAUACGGGAGGCAGCAGUGGGGAAUAGUGGACGAUGGGCGCAAGCCUGAUCCAGCCAUACCGCGUGAGUGAAAAAGGCCUUCGGGUUGUAAAGCCCUUUUGUUGGGAAAGAAAAACAGCAGGUUGAUACCCCGCUGGUCUGACGGUACCCAAAGAAUAAGCACCGGCUAGCUUCGUG